CCAGGCACAGUUCCAUCCCUUGCACCAGCUCAGGGUAUUGGAAGGAUUUGGGAGAGAGGUGUGACUGGGAGUCCCAGAGACCCACAGAGAUGGGGGAACUGCCUCAAGGGCUGAGCCUGGUGAUGGUGACACUGCAGCUGGUACAACCCAUAAGCUGCCCCGACGCAGUGGUGCUCGAGGCAGCCCUGAGCUCCUGAUGAUAUUCAGAUUUUCGGCACAGGCUGGUGACAGGGUGUUCCUGGGGAGCCACACACCAGGAGGAGGAACAUGCCCAGAAACUGCCAGUGGGCUUUCUCUGGUUGGUCGAGGGAAAAUCCUGAUGAGAGCAGAGCUUCCCACCAAGGAACAUGGUAAGCAAUUUCCAGGCCCUCUGAGCAGGCGGGUUUUUGGCAUCAAGACUUUCUCUCUAGGUAUCUGAUUUUCCCUGCGUGGGGGAUCACCAGAUUCCAAACCCAGGCAGCUCCAAGGGCAUGUGCUCAGCUCGAGGUGGGUGAGCUCAAAGCUCAGACACAGACUUGGACCCGUGUCAGCUCUUUGUUGCCGUGUGUGAGCAGAAUUCCCAGGAACGGAAACACCCGUCUGCCAGGUUUUCACAGAAGUGAACAGAAAGCAGUGGGGUUUUUUUCAGCUCCCAGGGCCUGCAUGUCUUGUGAAGUGGGGUGUAAAAAUCUCAAAAAAUCCAGGACCCAAGAAUGAAAAUCGAGAAAAAUCUUGACUAAAGAAUAUUUCCCUUUGGAAAAUGCACACGACAGACAAAGCCUUGAUUUCAUCACUUGUUUUUGGCCCCCCCUCUGCAGAGCCUGAGCCACCCCUUCCCUUUACAUUCUCGACGUGACUUUCUAUAGCAGCAGGAAAUAUCCCGACUUCCCCGACGCGUCCCGGGGCCGCUAUUCCUGGACACCCUGUUACGUAGCUGAGUUCACAGACUGGAUGCAGAGGGUCAGGUGGGUGGAGAGACGUCACUGCUACCUCGUCUGGUCCCUGGAGGCGCGGCCGUGACUCUCUCCGAGCUCUCCCUUCAGCCACCGGAGCCAGGACGGGAGCCCGAGAGCCGCGUUGUCUGAGUCACGAACCGAGCAGGGAGAGGUCUGGGAAGAGGUUCUAUCCCCAGCUGGGGUUUUCAGGACUGUGCCUCAGGGUCUUGUGCUUCUCCCUUCUCUGCUGUGUGAGGAGUGUGUCCCCUGGCAUUUACCCCAUCUAAAGGUCUGCUACCCUUUCCUGCAGGUCUCUUCCUGGGGGGAAAACCAGCUGGGGCCCCACGGGGAUGGGCAGGGACCUCGGAGGGUCCUUGUGACCGUGGCUGCUCCUGGCUGGGGGUGCAGCACAGCUGAACCCAGCAGAGCGUCACCCCCGCCCUGGGCAGCCGUGUGCUGCCAGCCUGGCUCCAGCAGCUCACACUACCCCUCACUGCAGAAGUGUCCUGGGGGAGGGGGACCUGCCCAGCGCCAGAGCAGAAGGGAACCGGGGGAAACAACCUCCAGAGCAAAGUGGGAAAUGGACACAGCACGUGAAAGAGCUCAGGAGCCCACGCGGCUCAUACCCAGCACUUACCCAGCACAGUGGGGUAAGGAGGGCACAUCCCCAAGGGCCCUCAUAGAUAUUCAUUCUGCGAUGGCUAAAAACCUUCCUGGGCAGCAGAAGUAACCUGGAGGUUUAUCACACAGUGCAGCCAAAAAAGCUGUUUGUGUUGCAUCAGGAGAUCCAGCCCACGAGGGGCUGUGCCAGCGGGACAGAGGGGUCACGGCCGCUGGCAGAUGAGGACUGAUAAGUGCUGAGCAGUGCCAGAGCUGCCUCUGCCCCGUCACAGGGGAGGAGACAGGUGGCCAGGAGUGCCAGCAGGGCUGUGGAUGAACUCUGUGGACUUCGCUUGGACCUGCUGCAGCGGCUCCGGGCAUCUCCUUCCAGAAACUACAGAUGAAAUGAAAGGAUGUUCAGAAAACACCUGGAGAAAUCCCCUGUCACCCUUGUGCCCACCAAAGGCUCUUCUAAAGCCACUGUCUGUCACUAGCCAAAGGCUGCUGGUAAAAGGGAAGUCACUGUUGCCUGAAAGGGAAAUCAGAGCCCAGCCCUGGCCCUGGUGGUCUGGCCCUUUCCACAGAGGCUCGUGAGCAGACUGAGUGUGCCAAGGGGCAGCCUCAUCCCCAGGAACCUGGAGCUCCUUGCACCACGAGCUGGGAGCCCAGCCAGCCAGAGCCCCUAAUUCGAAACGCAUGUUGGUUAAACCGAGAGAUGACUGUAAAAAUAAGGGUCGGAUUUCUCUGGUUGCAAAGCCUCCCACGUUACCCCAAGCCCUCUAGUUUCCUGCCUUCUGGCAUGUGUGACCUUCAGCACAGUAACCCCGGUGCUCCCUGAGGAGCCCAGGAUGGCAGGAAGAAUAAAGGGGAGUGAAGACUUGCAUAAUGUUCAUCCAGCAUUGCCAGGAAAAUAAGGAGAAUGCUUGGACCGAGAACAUCUCUGGUCUUUUAUGUUGGCUUUUCAAGUGUGAAAAUGGGCCUCCUGCUCUGGGCUGAGGGGGCCCGGGGCCCUCCCUGGGUGAAAGGGACCCCAAGGUGGCUGCAACCCUCCCUCAUCCUCCACAGUCCCCAGAAGACAUUGCAACCCGGGUAUUGAUGUCUUCUCCCCGCACUCUCGGGCUGCUGGUGGUUUACCCAGGGCUGCCUCGUGCUGGCAGAGAGAGCUGGAGGAAAGAGGAUGGGAAUGGAGCCGAUGGCAUGGCUGAGCUCCUGAUGCAGCUGGUCCUCGCUGGGGGUGGAGGGCUGUGGCCAAUUUUCCAUCUUUCUGACUGACCCUGCUUGGAAGUCCAUCUCUGCUCAAGAAGCAGCAGCAUCGAGAGCAGAAGUUUUGGGCACUCUCUGACAGGGGUGGGGUGGUGUCCCCAGCCCUGGGGAAGGAUGAGGCUGUGCUCCAGCAGCCUCAGCCACCUCGCUGUCACCAGUCCCCUUGGUCGGGGUACAGCCAAGCUGGGCAGGCUGCAGGAGCUGUGCUGCCAUGUGACCCCGGGGCAGGAGCUGCACGGCCCCUCUCCAGAGCGGGGAGUGAGAGAGUUUGAGCCAGCAGAGCUUGUGCUUGGGAAAAGCGGGAAUGGCGACCUCAGGGGUGGGGGGUUUAGCAGGCUGUUUGGCUGCAGGGCCAGGAGAGCAUGUGUGAUGGAUAAGUCCUUGCCAGGACCAGGUGUGAGCAGAGACCGAGGCGGAUGGAGUGCCCGCUCCAUCCGGGAAUGCUGCCAGUGCCUGUCUGGGUGAGACGUGCUGCUGCGCUCAGACGGGGCGGUAGGAAAUCCCUGUUGGAUGUUUCCCGACCUCCAGUGAAUCAGAGUAACUGUUCCCCUGGAGAACCUAAAUUUAUCCCUGAAGUGGUGACAGUGUAAUUCACACAUGUCCUAUUCCCUCUCACUGGAGUCUCCCUGACGUUUGCCAUUUCCAACAACAAAGCAACACUGUGAUCAACCUUCCUGUAAAGCUGCUUUGCUCCCAUCCCUCCUGGUGACAUAAGCCCCGGGCGGAGCAGCUGCAGGAAUUCGUGUGAGUUCAGAUCAGCCUGAACUUUCACACAGUGACCUGCCAGGUCAGCCUGGGAAGGAGUGGGGUAGAGAAAAAAGGCAGGGAACAAAAACACUCACCACAGCCCACCUGCUCACAGCCUGAUGUGCAUGAGACAGU